rnacentral:lncRNA from 1 species
GGGGCUGAGCAAUUUGGGAAGCGCUGAAGUUUUCUGCUCCUGUCCUGUACUGGUUUUCACUAAGCCAACUGUGAGAUUUCUUUGUUGCAAUAUUGGGGUCUGAGAUAACACUGCUGGAGGCUGGAGGCAAGAAACAUAGCCGAAACCAUCUUUUAGUGUGUGCUGUUAUUUACUAGCGCUGUGAACCAAGGAAGCGAAAAAACAAAGAGCCCGAAGACUGCACAGUUCCAGCUUGUAGGCCCUGGAGACAGUCUGGAGUCCUCAGACGGACAGAAAGAAGACAUCAGAAGGGCAACCUGUGGUGCCUGUGGCUGCUGAGUACAGGCGUGGGUGACUGAUUUUUAAGAAAUCGGCAACACGGAAGCUGAUUAUAAAAUAUUCAUAAGAAGCUGGCUUUUACAGCCCAUGUAAAAGGAACCUACAGGAAGAACGAAUGCUGUCACUCAACUUGAUUCUGCCAUUGUCAAGACAUUUGAGUUUCAGAACUUCAUCAUCCAAAGGCAUAAGUAGGUGAUUUCUGGGAUGUCUAGAGCAUUGAGAAACGUGCAAUUCUGAGAUGCUUACUGUGGAACCAUUGCUUGCAUGCAGUAGACUCUUACUUCUGAGCCUUUGUAUAAUUCUGUCCUAUAGUAUGGGAAAAUACUUUCCCAGCUCUCUUCCCAUACUGUCAAAGAGGCAUGGACGAGCUGGUAAGGAGGAGUUUACAGCAAUGGCUACUACCAUCAGGCUACUGACCCAGAGGGCAACGGAAGAGAAGCACAGAAUCUGUGUGUGUGAGUCCGUGGUUUGUAGAUCACUAGGGUAACAAAGAAAAGGGAAUUAGCUUCUGCCAAGGUAAUAUAUAUAAUCAAACACUGCAUGUCACUUUCCAGGGCAGAUUAUCUCAGUAACAGAAAGGAUGAGAAAGGCACAACUCACUACCUCCUUUCUCAUUCCCCGUCUUUGCUUUCUCUGGAUAAAUAUCAUAUGCUUAGUAGUCUGCCACUAACUGCAGUGUGGAGCACAUAAGAGCUGCCAUGGCUCUUCUCAGCCGUUUUCCAUCCGUCACUGAUAUCCCACUGUUCUGGGCUAAUGCGAAAUGCAAUAACGUUUAGCAUCAGAACAUAUCUGAGUCAAGAGGUUAAGGGAAAACACAUCUCCCAUUGUGUUCCAGCAGCUCCGAUACUGUUCAUGGCAAAACACCAUGGAGACAAAUAGAUCUCUCUCUAUUCAGGAAGCUCUGAGUGCACAGAAAAUGUAUGUGACAUCCUUACAGCAUGAGAGCCUUCUCUGUACGGUGCAUUAAAGGCAGGGGUGGCACAGGGGAGAAGUUCACCUAACGUGGUGUCUGAUAAGGCUUGGCCAUUGUCUACAGGGAGGAUUCUGUCUUCUGUAUUUUCUCUGGAUUGCUUUAAUAAACGUGUGCGGUUCUAGCAGGGGAAAGAGAUGCAACCUUUACAGAUAUAACUGGGGGAAAAAGAGGAUUCUGAACAAACAAGGUAAAAAGCUCUAUGUGGUAUUUUUCUUAAUUACAACCCCAAAAGGUAUUAGAUACACACUGACUCUUUUCUUUACAUUCCAUAGGAGUGCAUCUUGCUUCUCUCUGCUGUCUGCUUUAGGCAUGAGGGACACAAAAUCUAUAUAUUUGAGGAAGGCAGACAGACAAAAAAAA